rnacentral:rRNA from 1 species
UACGGGGGGGGCAAGCGUUGUUCGGAAUUACUGGGCGUAAAGGGCUCGUAGGCGGCCAACUAAGUCAGACGUGAAAUCCCUCGGCUUAACCGGGGAACUGCGUCUGAUACUGGAUGGCUUGAGUUUGGGAGAGGGAUGCGGAAUUCCAGGUGUAGCGGUGAAAUGCGUAGAUAUCUGGAGGAACACCGGUGGCGAGGGCGGCAUCCUGGACCAAUACUGACACUGAGGAGCGAAAGCCAGGGGAGCAAACGGG